UACGGAAUGUGCAAACGUUAUUCGGAAUCACUGGGCUUAAAGAGUCCGUAGGCGGCUAUGUUAGGUGAGGUGUGAAAUCCCCCGGCUCAACCGAGGAAUUGCGUUUCAAACCGGCGUGCUAGAGGAAGAUAGAGGUGGGCGGAACUGAUGGUGGAGCGGUGAAAUGCGUUGAUAUCAUCAGGAACACCGGAGGCGAAAGCGGCCCACUGGGUCUUUUCUGACGCUGAGGGACGAAAGCUAGGGGAGCGAACGGG
rnacentral:rRNA from 1 species